rnacentral:rRNA from 1 species
AUGGAGAUUGCCUACCCCUACGGCGGGGAGCUCACCAGGAAGCACGGCUUCGUCACAGGCCAGCCGUUUGACGCCAAGAUCGACAUCAUGUCCGGCCAGAAGCGCGCGAGGGAGAUGGAGAUCCUUCGCCAGCGCUUCCAAGCAGAGCUCGUCGCCGUCCGUCGCCUCCUCCACAAGGCGGCCGCCGUGCUAGCUCCCGCCUCGUCCCCGUCGGCUCCCCGCGUCAAGAAGAGUCGUCCAAGGUUCUUGGCCGAGGAACCGCCGACCAAGAAGAGGAAGGCGUCCCCUCCAGUUCCCCUGAUCAAUCGCAAGAAGCCGCCUACGAAGAAGAAGAUGACGGCCUCUGAGCGGGAGAUGCUCGCGGAAGACCUGGAGCUCUUCGUUGCGGAAAUCCCCGAUCACAUCGUCCAGCUCUUGCAGAAGCACAGCUGCGCCACCCGCCCCGGCGAAAUCGAGAUCGACCUCCACGCGUUGGACGACGCUGCUGCUGUCGAGUUACAGGAGCAGGUUGACAAGUUCGCUCGAGAGAGGAGGUCGGCGAAUCCGUCGCCCCAAGAACGCCAUCAAGACGGCCCUGAGGUGAUGGCCGAAGAGGAGGUCGAAGAAGUUGACAUCUGUGGCGGCGUCUCCCCCUUAGCGAUCGUGCCGCAACCUCUGCUGCAAGAACGCCACCAAGACGGCCCUGAGGUGAUGGCCGAAGAGGAAGAGGAGGAAGAAGUUGACAUCUGCGGUGGCGUCUCCCCAUUACCGAUCGUGCCGGCACCUCUGCUGCUCGUCGAAGAUGAAACAGCCAGCGGCAGCCCAAGCUCCAGCAGCAGCAGCAGCAGCAGCAGUUCAGAUACUGAUUCCAGCGACAGCGAUUCAGACACUGAUUCCGGCAGCAGCGACUCGGGUUCAGAGCACUCCGGCGGCAGUGACUCAGAUUCUGAUUCCGACGAGAUCGUCGACAGUCCAGCACCGGCCACGCCUCCAACAUGUGAGCAGCUCGCCUGUGCUCUGGAAAGGCAGCGAAAGGAGGCCACGUCCCGGGCGAGGGAGAAGGCCCGUCAGGAGCUGCUCCAGAUGGAGAAGACGGCAAUGCCCGACGAUACCCUACACCGAGAGGAUCUGAAGAGGCUCGGCAUUGAUGAGUACAACACAGCGAAGCCCAGCAACGUGUUGCGGCAGAUUGGGCUCUACCUCAAGGUUGACGAAGACUGGAAGCAGCAACGCCGUCAAAGCUUCCACGAGGAUUUAGAGGAAGGCGAGAUUCGGUCGUGA